GGCAUGGAAAUCCACAGGAGGUCUGAGCUUGGAUCUCUGGGAUCCAGUCCUCUGGGUGGGCUGCUUACCUCGGGGGUGACCCACUGUCCUGGUUUGCCUGGGACUAAAGGGGUUCCUGAGACAUGGGACUUCCAGUUUUAGAACUGGGACAGUGCCAAGAAACUGGGGAUGUGUUGAUCGCUCUGUUUACCUCUCUGAACCUCAAUUUGCUCAUAUCUAAAACCAGGAUAGUUACUAUCUGUCGGAGGACGAAAUGGGAUAAUGCAGGGAAGCAUCUAGCACAUGGCUCUUCAACCUGUAAAAUGGGAGGGUAGUGCCUACUUCACCAUAGCCGUGGGGAGAAGCCCGUGAAAACACCUCUCAUCUGAGCCUGGGGCUUGUUCUUUCUUUGUUGAAGAGGAAUACAGAGGUGUCAAGGACAGAUGAGAACAAGACUGAGACUUUCUACUUGUUGAAAUCUGCGAGAAAAAAUGGGAAAGGAAUGAAUGAGAGGUUAUCUCUUAAUGUAAGUCAAUGUUUAUUCAAUGCUUUGCCUUGUACAGCCUCAAAUCAUCUUGGGAUCCACGGUGGGAGGCAGCACUGAUGUGAUGUCAUCCAGUGCCUAGAGAUGAGCCUGGCUCUAUUACUGGAGACCGCUGGUGGCUGCAUGGUGCCCUGAGUUAUAACCAAGAUUGCUGAAUAUCUGGGGAGAAAAUUUCUGUCUCUGAUCAGCCUCGGGGGCAUGAGUCAACCUCUGCUAAGUGUUUUGAGCUUGCCUACUGACAAGUUGAUGGCCAAUGCAGAGAAUUAUUAUUCUUAAGAAGAUUGUAAUCACAACUAUGAUGAAUCCAGGUUGAUGAGACAUUAAUGCCUGAAAGCUUUGGAGUAUUUUUGAAAAGCAUCGCUAAAAUAAUAAUUGAAAUCGCAACAAGGGGGAAUCAAGAACAUAAAAGCUGACUGAGAUAACCUCGCAACCCCGCCUGCCUUUUCUAGACACCAGCUUGCUGGGGGGCUUCAUGAGGCUUGUGAAGAAGACAGGACAAAAGAGUCAGGCUGUUGGGAAUUUUAAGGUCCCAAGUGACAUGAUGCCUUCUGAUGUUCCGGGCCUCAGUGGCCUCAUCUGAGAAAUGGGAAUGAUAAUAGCAUAUGUGCAUGGACCAGAUGAGCUCUUCUGGUCCUGUUCCAAUUCUGCCAGCUCUUACUCGAUGAGAUUCUUAACUCCUGGUACCCAGGUGAUUGCAGCAUGCCAGGUGCUCUCGUUCUGGGAGGAGUACCUAACUCAGGGGUAGUAAACGCACUGCCUGGGGGCCAGAUCUGGUCCUUAGAUGUUUUUUAUUUGACUUGUAUAGUUAAAUACUUAUAAACAGCUUUUGAGAUUUAUUACAUAUGGUAAAGUAAUAACACAGACAGAAACAAGUACAAUACUUUAUUAACUGGCUCAGUGAACUGUCACCUAGCAGACACUGGGGUAACCACCAACCAAGCAUGGCUGGCCCCUCAGGAUUCACCCUGGGCCUCCUUCAGUCACUUGACACUGUGCUGUACUUUUUUUAUUUUUUUUGAGACAGAGUCUUGCUCUAUCGCCCAGGCUGGAGUGCUGUGGUGUGAUCAUAGCUCACUGCAGCCUUCACCUCUUGGAUUCAAGAGAUCCUCCCGCCUCAGCCUCCUGAGUAGCUAGAACUAUGGGUGUGCACCACCAUGCCUGGCUGAUUUGUAAAUUUUUUGUGGGGACAGGGUCUUGCCAUGUUGCCCAGGCUGGUCAACUCCUGGACUCAAGCAAUCAUCCCACCUUGGCCUCCUGAAGCACUGGGAUUACGAGUAUGAGCCACUGCACCCAGCCUGUACUUUAAAAUAUUAUUAUUAUUUUUAGUUUGGCCAUGUGCUACCUUGCUGUCUUCUUAAGCUGACACUAAAUUAUGUUGUUGUUUUUUCACACCUAUUCUGCAAUUCUCCGACACCAACUGAGGGUCCAAUAAUUCAAUUCAAUUCCGACAGUAACUACUUGGAAUGCAUGCGGACUGCACAAGUGAAGGGCUCAGUCCCCCAAAACUGCCUGACUUCAGACACUGGUCCCAGGAGAUCACCCAGACUUCUGACCAAUUGGCUACAAAUCGAGAGUUCUCCUGACCCCGCCUCAGGCUCAAUAUUUCACUUGCAUGACUCGCAGAUUUUAGGAAAACACUUCAUUUAUGUUUGCUGGCUUGUUACAAAGGGUACAACUCCGGAACAGCCAGAUGGAAGGUACUGGUGGAGGGGCGCAGAGCUUCUGUGUCCUCUCCCGGCCCCCUACCCUCCCACCCAGCACCUCCAUGUGUUUACCAACUCAGAAACUCUCUGAACCCCAUUGUUAAGGGGUUUUUAUGGAGGUUCCAUUAUUUAGGCAUGAUUGAUUACAAUCUUUGGCCAUGGGUGAUUAAAUUCCAUCUCCAGCCCCUCUCCGCUUCCCAGAGAUGAGUGGUGGUGCUGAAAGUUUCAACCCUCUAAUCAUGGCUUGGUCUUUUUGGUGACUAGCUCUCAUCCUGAAGCUCUUUGGGAGUCCCCUCACUAGCAAGCAAAGUACAGUAAAUUCCGAGAAACUCAGAAACCCUGCUGAGAACUAGAAACCAGACAAAAAGAUUAAAUAUUUAUUUUUUAAUUAUUUCACAGAGUGCCUUUAAGCAAAGGCAUGCACACUCCAAUUUGCCACAGACUCCACCAUGCCCCAUUAUUGCUCACUGCCCUAUUCAUAGAUUUGUGUUGCCUGUUCAGCCUCUGUAGGCAUUUGAAAUUGUGAUGCCUGCUUAAUAGAUAUUAUUUGCCUUAAUAAUAAUUGAAACAGUCAUUGUCAUAAUAAUAGCAAUGAUAAUGUAUUAGUCCAUUCUCACACUGUUAUAAAGAACUACCUGACACCAGGUAAUUUAUAAAGAAAAGAGGUAUAAUUGACUCACAGCUCCACAGGCUGUACAGGAGGCAUGGCUGGGGAGGCCUCAGGAAACUUACAUCAAGGCGGAAGGUUGAAGGGGAAGCAAGCACACCUUCACAUGGCAGCAGGAGAGAGAGAGCAAAGCAGGGAGCGCUGCACAUUUUUAAACAACCAGAUCUCAUGAGAGCUCACAAGAACAGCGAGAACAGCAAGGGGGAAGUCUGCCCCCAUGAUCCAAUCACCUCCCACCAGGUCCUGCAACACGUGGGGAUUACAAUUUGACAUGAGAUUUAGGUGGGGACACAGAGCCAAACCAUGUCAAAUAACAAAGUAGCUAUCAACUGUUGGGUAUUUAUACUAUUCCAGGGGCUGUGCUGAGCAUGUCAGAUAUAGCAUCUUGUUUAAUCUUCACAGAAAUUCUUCUAAGUUGGCCAGGCACGGUGGCUCAUGCCUGUAAUCCCAGCACUUUGGGAGGCCGAGGCAGGUGGAUCACAAGGUCAGGAGAUUGAGACCAUCCUGGCUAACACGGUGAAACCCCGUCUCUACUAAAAAAAAAAAAAAAGAAAUAGA